rnacentral:rRNA from 1 species
GAUGAACGCUGGCGGCGUGCCUAACACAUGCAAGUCGAGCGAUUUACUUCGGUAAAGAGCGGCGGACGGGUGAGUAACGCGUGGGUAACCUGCCCUAUACACACGGAUAACAUACCGAAAGGUGUGCUAAUACGAGAUAAUAUAAGAGAUUCACAUGGAUUUCUUAUCAAAGCUGAGGCGGUAUAGGAUGGACCCGCGUCUGAUUAGCUAGUUGGUAAGGUAACGGCUUACCAAGGCGACGAUCAGUAGCCGACCUGAGAGGGUGAUCGGCCACCUUGGAACUGAGACACGGUCCAAACUCCUACGGGAGGCAGCAGUGGGGAAUAUUGCACAAUGGGCGAAAGCCUGAUGCAGCAACGCCGCGUGAGUGAUGAAGGCCUUCGGGUCGUAAAACUCUGUCCUCAAGGAAGAUAAUGACGGUACUUGAGGAGGAAGCCCCGGCUAACUACGUGCCAGCCGCCGCGGUAACAC